rnacentral:rRNA from 1 species
UGGGGAAUAUUGCACAAUGGGCGAAAGCCUGAUGCAGCAACGCCGCGUGAGUGAUGAAGGCCUUCGGGUUGUAAAGCUCUGUCUUUUGGGACGAUAAUGACGGUACCAAAGGAGGAAGCCACGGCUAACUACGUGCCAGCAGCCGCGGUAAUACGUAUGUGGCGAGCGUUGUCCGGAUUUACUGGGCGUAAAGGAUGCGUAGGCGGAUAUUUAAGUGAGAUGUGAAAUACCCGAGCUUAACUUGGGUGCUGCAUUUCAAACUGGAUAUCUAGAGUGCGGGAGAGGAGAAUGGAAUUCCUAGUGUAGCGGUGAAAUGCGUAGAGAUUAGGAAGAACACCAGUGGCGAAGGCGAUUCUCUGGACCGUAACUGACGCUGAGGCAUGAAAGCGUGGGUAGCAAACA